rnacentral:rRNA from 1 species
AUUGCCCUAGUAACGGCGAGUGAAGCGGCAACAGCUCAAAUUUGAAAUCUGGCGUCUUCGGCGUCCGAGUUGUAAUUUGCAGAGGGCGCUUUGGCAUUGGCAGCGGUCCAAGUUCCUUGGAACAGGACGUCACAGAGGGUGAGAAUCCCGUACGUGGUCGCUAGCCUUUACCGUGUAAAGCCCCUUCGACGAGUCGAGUUGUUUGGGAAUGCAGCUCUAAAUGGGAGGUAAAUUUCUUCUAAAGCUAAAUACUGGCCAGAGACCGAUAGCGCACAAGUAGAGUGAUCGAAAGAUGAAAAGCACUUUGGAAAGAGAGUUAAAAAGCACGUGAAAUUGUUGAAAGGGAAGCGCUUGCAGCCAGACUUGCCUGUAGUUGCUCAUCCGGGUUUUUACCCGGUGCACUCUUCUAUAGGCAGGCCAGCAUCAGUUUGGGCGGUUGGAUAAAGGUCUCUGUCAUGUACCUCCUUUCGGGGAGAUCUUAUAGGGGAGACGACAUGCAACCAGCCUGGACUGAGGUCCGCGCAUCUGCUAGGAUGCUGGCGUAAUGGCUGUAAGCGGCCCGUCUUGAAACACGGACCAAGGAGUCUAACAUCUAUGCGAGUGUUUGGGUGUCAAGCCCGAACGCGUAAUGAAAGUGAACGGAGGUGGGAACCUUUCGGGGUGCACCAUCGACCGAUCCUGAUGUCUUCGGAUGGAUUUGAGUAAGAGCAUAGCUGUUGGGACCCGAAAGAUGGUGAACUAUGCUUGAAUAGGGUGAAGCCAGAGGAAACUCUGGUGGAGGCUCGCAGCGGUUCUGACGUGCAAAUCGAUCGUCAAAUUUGGGCAUAGGGGCGAAAGACUAAUCGA